rnacentral:rRNA from 1 species
AGUGAACGCUGGCGGUAGGCCUAACACAUGCAAGUCGAACGGCAGCACAGUAAGAGCUUGCCCUUACGGGUGGCGAGUGGCGGACGGGUGAGGAAUACAUCGGAAUCUACUUUUUCGUGGGGGAUAACGUAGGGAAACUUACGCUAAUACCGCAUACGACCUACGGGUGAAAGCAGGGGAUCUUCGGACCUUGCGCGAUUGAAUGAGCCGAUGUCGGAUUAGCUAGUUGGCGGGGUAAAGGCCCACCAAGGCGACGAUCCGUAGCUGGUCUGAGAGGAUGAUCAGCCACACUGGAACUGAGACACGGUCCAGACUCCUACGGGAGGCAGCAGUGGGGAAUAUUGGACAAUGGGCGCAAGCCUGAUCCAGCCAUACCGCGUGGGUGAAGAAGGCCUUCGGGUUGUAAAGCCCUUUUGUUGGGAAAGAAAAGCAGCAGGUUAAUACCCCGCUGUUCUGACGGUACCCAAAGAAUUAGCACCGGCUAACUUCGUG